rnacentral:rRNA from 5 species
AAACCAACAGGGAUUGCCCCAGUAACGGCGAGUGAAGCGGCAACAGCUCAAAUUUGAAAUCUGGCCCCUCCGGGUCCGAGUUGUAAUUUGUAGAGGAUGCUUUUGGUGAGGUGCCGCCCGAGUUCCCUGGAACGGGACGCCACAGAGGGUGAGAGCCCCGUCUGGCUGGCCACCGAGCCUCUGUAAAGCUCCUUCGACGAGUCGAGUAGUUUGGGAAUGCUGCUCAAAAUGGGAGGUAUAUGUCUUCUAAAGCUAAAUAUUGGCCAGAGACCGAUAGCGCACAAGUAGAGUGAUCGAAAGAUGAAAAGCACCUUGAAAAGAGGGUUAAACAGUACGUGAAAUUGUUGAAAGGGAAGCGCUUGUGACCAGACUUGGGCGCGGCGGAUCAUCCGGGGUUCUCUCCGGUGCACUUCGCCGCGUUCAGGCCAGCAUCAGUUCGUCGCGGGGGAAAAAGGCUUCGGGAACGUGGCUCCUCCGGGAGUGUUAUAGCCCGUUGCAUAAUACCCUGCGGUGGACUGAGGACCGCGCAUCUGCAAGGAUGCUGGCGUAAUGGUCACCAGCGAC